AUUUAAAUAGCUUAAUAUUUAAAAGCAUGAUAUUGAAAAUAUCAAGAUAAUUUUUGAUUUUUAAAUA
rnacentral:tRNA from 1 species